AACGAACGCUGGCGGCAUGCCUAACACAUGCAAGUCGAACGAGACCUUCGGGUCUAGUGGCGCACGGGUGCGUAACGCGUGGGAACCUGCCCUUAGGUUCGGAAUACUCCCCGAAAGGGGUGCUAAUACCGGAUAAUGUCUUCGGACCAAAGAUUUAUCGCCUUUGGAUGGGCCCGCGUUGGAUUAGCUAGUUGGUAGGGUAAAAGCCUACCAAGGCGACGAUCCAUAGCUGGUCUGAGAGGAUGAUCAGCCACACUGGGACUGAGACACGGCCCAGACUCCUACGGGAGGCAGCAGUAGGGAAUAUUGGACAAUGGGCGAAAGCCUGAUCCAGCAAUGCCGCGUGAGUGAUGAAGGCCUUAGGGUUGUAAAGCUCUUUUACCCGGGAUGAUAAUGACAGUACCGGGAGAAUAAGCUCCGGCUAACUCCGUG
rnacentral:rRNA from 1 species